AAAAGCAUGCUGGCUUGCAUACUGCAAAAUGCGACCGGAUGGUCCUGGUAUUUUUGGCAUACUGCAUUUGACCUACUAAGCACUGGGACACACUAAAUCAUUUUCUGGAAUACUAAAUAGUAUGAAAGCAGGGCAUUGUUGUCCCACAAUCCUCAGCGUUGGGAGAAAGCUGACCAGUGAGGAAGGGCUGGCCUGUGACACGUCCACCAGCGCGCCCAGUAGGGCCUCUGUUAGGGAUUGGUCUCCUAGGUAACUGACUAGUGUGGGCACCUGAGGGCUCAACAUCUGUUCGGGUGAGAUGAAACAAAGAUAAGGAGGGGAGAAAGCAUUAGUCAUUACUUUUGAUUAUAGCUGUAAUCCUGUCACUGUUCUGGCACCACCACUCAAUAUCAAACAGAGGCUCGAUGUGUCUUUGACAAAGCCUGGAGGUGAGAGGAGUGACCUUGGUGUGAACUGACCGAUUGGUAACUAAAAAUGAACAAAGGCUUGCCUGAAGGACUGUCUGGACAAACUGUUCCUCCUCAUUAUCAGGACAGGUCACACUGGACUGCACGAGACUGGACUGGAUCAGACUAACAAUGCCCACCAUUUCCAGCCCUCCUGCUGCUACUUUAUGAGUCACAUGUUCUGAAUUAAUCACAUUACUAAUUUUGUAAUCCUUUCAGUACUCCAUCACUUCCAGUAAGAGAAUAUUAGGAUGCACAAAUGUUUCUGAUGAAUGCAACUACAAUCACAACAGAAAUCUUUUGUGUGUCUGUGUGGGGGGUGGAGAUCAGAAUAACUCCAAACAGCUGGUUUGGUUUGUGACGAGUGAGACUAUCCAUGUUUUACCACCAUAUGCUCUGUUUGCUGGUAUGUGGUACUUUCCCCUCAUGUCGAACAUCAGCAGCUCUGCCCCGAAAUAUGCAGGAUUAAGGGAAUUCCUACUGAGAAAUCUGCACUCCACAUGCACUGCUCAAUUUCCUCACUUCUAACUAUGAUCCAGUGGCUUUUUCUAUAUUUCGACAUGAGCUCAUAACAGGAUAUUGCGCAGUUAAACGGUAAAUAUUCUGAUUAAGCUUGACUCAUGGGCAGAAAUGUUACAAAAAAAGCCACACACGUCUUUCACUGUAAGCCAAAGCCAAGCUAAAUGUAAACGUAUGCCAUGACCACAGAGACUCUGAUUUAGUUGGGACAGUGCUUUAUUUUCAGAUAACCCUACAGUCUGAUGUAUUUUAACUACCUCAUUAUCAUUUAGUAUAUAAUACAGCUGGAAGGCUGCUUGUUUUAGGUGUUACUAGGCUUCUUGAAACAGUUAGUCCAAGGCUGACGAAGAUAGCCAACAAAAAGUUUUUAAAAAUAUGACGUGAACUAAUUUGUAUUUCGAUCGCUGGUAAAGUGACAGUGGUAUAAGUGGGAUAAUUCACUUCGGCCCAUGCGGUUAUAAAAAAACAACCCACAGUACACUGUGCUAGCAAAACUACAAAAACACAACUCAAACACUCACAAGUGGGUGUUGCUCGGCAACAAUUUGAAUGAGUCUGAUCAGGUGUUGUUGCUCUGGGGACUCCAGCUGUGACAUCAUCGCAGUGAGGUUGCCUAGGUGAAAGUGGAUGGUAUCUGGUUGUCUGGGGUAGACUGAGGGUAACACUCGUAACAGCAUGUGGUUACCUGCCAGAGAGAGAAAGAGACAGAGUUGCUUUCAGUAAGCCUCAGAGGCAAAUACAAACUUGGUGACCACCAUUUAGACACUGAAAAUAUAAAACAGUAGUUAGACAGAGAAAAAAGAUUGGGUGACCAGUGUGAACAGUAGAAGUGGAGACAUAAAUUUAUUGUUUUAUAAAAUGCCCAAAAUACGAGAAAUUACAGAUUAUUGAAGGAUAGGAUUAAUGGGUCUGUUGUAUUAGACUGCAUUAGUUUUAGCAGGGUGUACCUAAUAAACUGGCGACUUACUCCAUCAGACUUCUUAUUAUCGAUGUCGCUGCAUUCCCAGAUCUCAACAAUUAACUUGGUGACUAUGAUUGAAUUAAUACCAAGAGAACUGAAGGCCAAAACUAUGAAAAUCACACCCAUGUCGCAUGAAACCUGAAUUUUCCUUUAAUCUGUUAGUGGUGUAGCUGUACUGUAACAUCGUGCAUAUUUGCCACAAUUAUUUUCCUCAGCAAACACGCACAAUCCCCCGUCAAGGUACCACAUCUGUAUUCAGUAAAUAAAACUUUCUCCAUUU